CCUACGGGAGGCAGCAGUAGGGAAUUUUCGGCAAUGGGGGGAACCCUGACCGAGCAACGCCGCGUGAACGAAGAAGUUAUUCGUAAUGUAAAGUUCUUUUAACAGGGAAGAAAGAGACAUUUGACGGUACCUGAUGAAUAAGCUCCGGCUAAAUACGUGCCAGCAGCCGCGGUAAUACGUAGGGAGCGUGCGUUAUCCGGAAAUAUUGGGCGUAAAGGGUGCGUAGAUGGCAUAGUAAGUCUUUGGUAAAAAUGCUGGGCUCAACCCAGUAGGGCAAAAGAUACUGCAAAGCUAGAGUAUGACAGAGGCAAGUGGAACUAGAUGUGUAGCGGUAAAAUGCGUAGAUAUAUGUAAGAACCCCAGUGGCGAAGGCGGCUUGCUGGGUCGAUACUGACAUUGAGGCACGAAAGCGUGGGGAGCAAACAGGAUUAGAUACCCUAGUAGUC
rnacentral:rRNA from 1 species